CUUGACUCAAAAUGAAGCCAUCGUCGCGUAGAUAACUUUCUUCAAGGACCACUACUCAACCCACACUCUAACCCAUUCAAAUUUAAGUUUCAAGCUGAAAACCCUAGAGAGAGAAAGAGAAAGAGAAGGAAGAAUGAUGUAAUAAAUGUUGGAAAAGAAGUUAAAUACUAGGUAUUAAUGUUUAGGUUAAAGACAACAUAUGCAUUUGGGCUUUUGGGGCCUUGUUGAGGGCCCAGCAUAACUUUCAAACUCAUCUGGCCAUUUAACUUGGCCCACUUUCUCACACAUCCACUUUCAAGCCUAAUCAAAACCCAACUCAACUUAAAUGGGUUCAACUAUAUCGAAGCCCAUGAUGAAUAACAUUAUACACGUGCAUUAUGACAUCAUAUGGCAUCCAAUUAUUAUAUCAAUAAAACAAAAUUUUAAAACCUUACAGUAUCUAAAGCCCAACUUUGGAUAAGGGUUUGAGCCCCAAGGGGCACCCCACUUUUGUGGAAGGAGAAUGACCUAUGGAACCCAUGGUUUGACCCAAUCCUCCAUGCACGGCCGGUCAGCCUGCUCAGCUCGGCUCAGUUCGAUGCGAGUCCGAUUUAAUAAUAUUAAAAAGGCUUAAGCCAAUAUAAUAAUUAUUUUUUAGACACGGUACAACCCAGCACUUGAUGGACCGUGUAGAAACUAGAUCCAUUUUAGUUUUGAAUUUAAAUUCAAAUCCAAUGGUCGCAACUCCUCCUAAGGGUGCGUUUGGCUUGCACUGUUUCGAAGGGUGCGAAUUUUUCUAUAUAUAGAAAAAUUCCCCCUUCGUUAUUAUGUAUGAUUUUUCCUUUCCCCUUCUUCUCUCUCUCUCCGACGAAGGCGAAUUACUGCCCAGAUUCUGGCGUUGUCCGUACGUGUUUAAUCCAGCAUCUAUUUCCCAGAUUCCAGCGAAGUCUAUUCGCAAUUUUUUAGUGACUCUUCCAGACGUAGUUUUCUAAUUAAUCUGUUGAAAAAUUUUUACGAAUUUCAAUCCAUGUUUUGUAUAAUGCGGUUAAUUUUGUAUUUUAUCUACCUUACGUUAUUUCUGUACUUGCAGUGGUAGAUUUUAUGUAAAAGUUCAAUCAUUUUAUUUUGUAUUUCUGUAUUGAAUUUCAGUGUUAAAAUUCUAUAGAAUUGCAGUAUUUUUUAGCAUAGAAAAUACUAUCUUUUGUUAUCAUGUCAUUUUGAUUUUAUCAGAAACACCGUAGGUUUCUGUAUGGAAUUAAAUGUUAUAAUUAUGUAUAAAAUUAGACAAAAAUUCCUCGUUGAUUUAUAUCAUACAUGUUGUUUUUAUUCUGUACAUUGAGAGAGUAGAAUCUGAUGUUUGUAUCCACUGGACCUGAAUAUUAUAGUGUUAUUUAUUUAGUGUCGUGAUUAUUUUAUCUUGGAGAUAGACGACUGUUAGACCAAUGAGCACUGGGGGGGCGAAUCUGUCUUAAGAAAAGAAUGUCCAACACUCGACUUAAUCAACUCUUUCCUUACAUUUUUUAUAUAUUAUCACAUAAUAUAAUUGGUCACAUUAUUUUACACAUAAUAUUAGAUUUAUGAACUGCUUAUUUCACAUUAUUUAUUAACUACUUGUAAGGUAUGUUUCAAUAUUAUUUUCCAACAAUUAAUAAGAAAAUGAAAUAGUGCUUACCCAUUAUCUUACUCUUUUCAUCCCGCAUCUUUUUCUUUUUCAUUUUUUUUCUAUCAACCUUCAAUAGUAUUAGUGGUUCAAGAUCGUUUAUCCCGUUGCCCAAAUUUUUUUUUUUUUUUUUCACUAAUUUUAUCUUUCUCUUUUGGCUUGUGUUCACAACACACUGAUUUGUUUACAUUACCAAUGGUGAAUUUUUUUUUUGUUUAAAUGUGCAAUUUUUUUUAUAUAGCUGUGCAAAUUUUUGCUUACAUCCUGUGCAAAAAGUGUUUCAAGUGUGCAAAUUUUUCUACAAGUAGGCAAAUUUCUGUCCAAUUGUGUAAAUUUGGUCAAUAUUUUAUGAAAAAAUAUUCGGUGCAAAUUUUGGUUGAAGAAUUAAUUUUUUUUAUCAUUGGAGAAUGUUGGUCUAUAUUUUGCGCAAAAAAAUAUUCUAUUCGGCAAACUGUGGUUCAAAUAUUCAAAGUUUGGUACAAGCGUGCAAAUUUUGCUACAUGUAUGCAAAUUUAGGAAUAUAGAGUACCCUACAACACACUUUAAAAAAAUGAUCAUCUAUUUUAGUAGACAAUUCAUAAUUAUGCACUGUUUUAAUUUUUUAAAAACUAAACUCAUAGAGCUUUCUAAAUAUGAAAGUCUUUCAUUUUAUUUAUGAGUGAAAGAAGUUUUUAGGUUGAGACUUUCUGUUGAUGCAUAGUCCUUGCGCUACUUUUUAAAAAAAAAAAUGACUAUAUAUUUUUAGUAUCACUUAAACUGCACACUUUUAAAGUUUUAAAACUAAACUUAUAGAUAUUAUAAAUACAUGAUCUUGAAUUUUAUUUAUUUAUAAGCGAAAACAAUUUUUAGAUUGAAUUUGUCUAAAUCCGAUUUUCGAAUUUGGCAGUCCCCUUAUGGCACCACUUUGAAAAAAUUAUCAUAUCUUUAUUAUACAACUCGAAUUGUAAAAAAAGAAAAAAUGCCAUGCCCGUUUGAUUUUUUGAGACAAGACUCUAGAUAUUGCUAAUAGUAAACUUUGGCAUUUUUAUUAUUUCUGGGUGAAAUAGUUUUUAGUUGAAGUGUCCCUAAAAUCUGUUUUUCAGGUCUCCUGUGACACACUUUGAAAAAAUGAUCAUAUCUUUUAGUAUACAAUUUGGAAUUGUAUACCGUUUAAUUUUUUUAAAACUAGACUCAUAAAGAUUUCUAAAUAUGUCAACCUUUAAUUUUUUUUAUUUAUGAGUGAAAAUAUUUUUAGGUUGAAGUGUCCCUAAAAUCUAGGUCUCAAGUUUGUGUAGUAUCCUACAACACACUUUGGAAAAACAACCAUAUGUUUUAGUAUACAACUCAAAUUUGCGUACUGUUUAACUUUUUUGAAAUUAGACUCAUAGAUAUUUCUAAAUAUGUGAACAUUGUAUUUUUUUGUAAUGAAUGAAAAUAAUUUUUAUAUGGAAGUUGUCCUAAAACGUGGUUAUGUAAUUUUGUUUUUCUAAAUACUUAACCACCUCUAGACAAGUCUAGCAGUGUGAUCCGUACUCCGUUUUCAAGGCGUGAAUAACCUAUUUGAAACUUAAAAAAAUUAUUUUCUAAUGGCUUGAACCUUGUUUAUUAGAUUUGUUGUAAAUAUAUAGAUGUGAUAAAAACAGUGCAUGUGUGUGUGGGGAUUGAUGUUCAAUUUUAAAGUUUUAAGAUUCUUUCACUUCAAGUCAUAUUUAAACCACAUUUCACACAUUUUAUAUCAAUAAAAAUGGUGGCAUGGUGGUGGAGGUAGAGGCGGAGGCGGAGGCGGAAGCCACUCCACUGGUGGAGGCGGCGAUGAUAGCGAUGGCUUCAGUAAAAAAAUUAGGUACAAUUUGUAUGAUUGCAAAAUAAUUGUAAGAGUGUAAAUUUUAUACAAUUAUGCAAAUUUUAGUAAAAUAAGAUAAGUUGAUAAUAUUUUUUUAUGUGUAUCUUUUAUUUAUGGUAAUAAAUUUUGCUUGUAACUUUGAUGAACUAAAACUCCCUAAAGAAACCACCUGUCAUUGCCCUAGACCUGGUUCAAAACUGGAACCGGAUUGGCCGAUUUGAUCGUUCAAAAAAAUGGUAUCGGUCACCGCGAAAUCCGUUUUGUCCAAAUCAGGUCAAAUCUUGUUGUCCGCCGACAGGUGAACCGGUCAUUGAUCCCGCCCUGUUCACCUUUUUUAGAAAAAAAAUUAUAUUUUAAUUUCAAAAUUUUAAGAUACUUAACUAUAACAAUUAGUCUAUAAAAUCAAAAAUAUUUAUUAUGAUUAAUAUAAUUAUAAUCAUAGUUUAAUAAUGACAUCACGGGUCAAUAACAAUUGACCCACGUUUGAACCGGUGGACCCUAAUUCGGAUAUUUUUUCGAUUUCAAUCACUUGUCCACCCGGUUCAAACACUGUCUAGAUUUAGAAGGAAGGAUCGCGGCCCAAACUUUUAAUUGAAGCCCAACACAACCAGGCCUUUAUUGCUUUGUUCUCGGCCAUUUAGGGUUGUGUCAUAUAAAAGCCUCUUACAAGACUGUCAUCGUCUCUCACACUAACACACACGGAGGUCUGGUCGGCGAGCAUCCCAUCAUGGUGGGCACGUUUCCUAUUUUACCGGAACUGUAGUUCUUGGCAAUUUAUUGAAUUUAGAUUUGUUGUGCGUGAUCUUGAUCCAUCAUUUUGUAUCGAGAAAAGACAAAACAUUGAUUCAUCGUUUGUGUUUUCUAGUUGUUCAGAUUUUUGUUUCGAAGCAGAUAAGAAAUUCUUAGAUCCAGAAAAUCAAACUAUUUUUUUGUUUUUUUUUUUUUUUGCGUUCUUUCGUGUAUGAAUAUGUUUUGGAAAUUUGAUAGUUGUUCGGUGUUUGGCUUCUGAGAAGUACAAUAAUUGGGAGCGCAAACAGACAUUUGAAACUUAGAUUGUUCCAUAUUUGUGACUGGAAAACACUAGGAAUAAGGAUGUGUUUGGAUUAAAGUUUGGUGAGGAAAAGUUAGAGGAUCCAACUUUGGAUCCUCUAAGUUUCAUUUCUUAGUCCUUUUCUCUUUCCCUUUCCCCACCAAAUCCGUGAUCCAAAUACGCCUGCUUCCAUUUGGAUCGACGAAGAUUUCAAAUCAGGAAUUUCGUGGUUGAUUGUAACAAAAAGUAUAGAGAUUCGUUAUAGGUAGCUUGUGAAACUAGACCGAAGAUGGAAUAAUGGUAAAAGAUAUCAUUUUAUGGGAUCAUGUAUAACUACAAUCCCUGCAUGAUGGAAUUCUAAAUCACUAUGUUAAAUAGAAUUAAUUAAAAUGCAUAAUGAUAAAGUUCUCAACCAAUGUAGAAAUUUUUUUAUAUAAACUAUCAAUCUAAAUUUAAGGCUUUUCUCAUUGAAUAAUAUGCCACGGCCUGUCAUUUAAAAUCCCACAUCU
rnacentral:lncRNA from 1 species